rnacentral:snRNA from 1 species
ACACUUCAACAGCACAUAUACUAAAAACUGAAUGACACAGAGAAGAUUAACAUGGCCCCUGCCCAAGGAUGACAUGCAGAUUUGUGGAGCUUUCCCUGUUUUU